UACGUAGGGUGCAAGCGUUGUCCGGAAUUAUUGGGCGUAAAGGGCUCGUAGGCGGUCCGUCACGUCGGGAGUGAAAACUUGGGGCUUAACCCCAAGCCUGCUUCCGAUACGGGCGGACUAGAAGUAGGCAGGGGAGAACGGAAUUCCUGGUGUAGCGGUGAAAUGCGCAGAUAUCAGGAGGAACACCGGUGGCGAAGGCGGUUCUCUGGGCCUUACCUGACGCUGAGGAGCGAAAGCGUGGGGAGCAAACAGG
rnacentral:rRNA from 1 species